CACAGUAAAGAUCUUUUUCACUUGCUGAGGGAGAUGAAACACCUUCAAGAAAGAAAGAUUUUAUUGUAUAUCCCUUUUCCUCGAGGUUGAAGAUACCCCUGUACACACUAAGAUUUUUGUGACAGAAAUGAGAUCGCAACAUUUUGGUGUGUUGAGAACACUACUCCCCAAAUGCAAAUAACCUGGAAGUAGAUUUGGUAAGUAUGAGAAGGACAAAAGCCCAACUGAAAGUCGAUUGUGUCAUUUUUACCAUUCUUUUAAAUUUAUGCUAAAACAGCAAUUUUUUUUCUUAUUUCUGGGGGUAUUCAAUAAACUUUUCGGCUUCCUUAUAUUCACACUCAUUAAGCCAAUUAUAGAGCAAUUCUGUAAUAUUUAGUCUCCUACAGACAUCAUAUUCUAGUCCUGGGAAAGUACAUGACUUUGCUCUGCAUUCUUAGGAAAGCCUUCCAGGAAUCUUAAUUUUACGUCUUACAAAUAUAUUUUUCUGUUGCUUGAUAUUUCCUUUCAAACUUGCCUUUUUGAAAGGAUUAUGAGAUAGACAGAAAAAGUAAAUUUAAGAAUUGUAGAGUAUAAAAGAGAGGUUUUUCUGCCUCAUCAAAAUCAUACAGAAUUCCAGAAGACAACCACUUCUGUAACGAUCUUUAUUUCAGUUAGUUCUCAGGUAUCUUCGCCUAGACAUUUUUGAUGUAUGCAGAAAAAUCUGCAUGCUACAAGAUGAGUUGUGUUAUGUCAAUAAUUAAGUAGUUUUUUGCUAUGUAUUUGAAAAAAAAAUAUUAGACUUAUUUCCAUUUGUGAACCCUAGCUUAGAGUGUGCAGAAACAAUAUUUGUUUACAGCAAGGAAAUAAAAACAAAGAACAAAACAAAAGCUAUGGAUUUUGUUGUGAGAUGACCAACAUGCUAUAACUUGUUUUGCUUAUUUUUUAAUUAGUUUUUGAUCUUUACCUGUAACAUUUUUUUUAAGUAGGUGACAUCAUUCCCAGCUUAAGCUUCCCUUUUUCUCUCUUUUCUCUCUUUUGUUUUUAAACUAUUGUGUGUCUAUUUAAUUCCAGUAAAAAAGGCACUUAAUGUAGGCUAUAUUUAGUCCAAUAAACUAAUGAUGGAUUUGGCUACAGCUCUCUGGAGCUGUUUCUAUUAAUUUCCUAAUAAAUUAUGAUAUCUGAUAGGCUCUUAAACUUUUGCCUGCUUAAUUAGUUGUCAGACAGUAAGAGAUGCCACUCAUUGUUUUCAUAUUAGUGAGAGAUAAAACACUGAAGUAAACUGUGGAUUAAUUAGAAUUACCUUCCUGGGAAUAGUUUUUUGCACACCAUUCUAAGGUAGGGAAAAUGGAUUUGAACACAGCUCUUGUGACAAGACACCCUAAUAGUAACACAGCCUGGGACAAACCUUAAUUGCUUUGUCAUUAUUUAUUUGAUAUGAUGCAGGAUCCUGGAUUAGCACCUGAAAGCAUACAUAACAAGACACCCUUUAAAAAUUAUUUAUUUUUUCAUUCUAUUGGUGCAGUAUCACAGAAUUGCUGAAUUGGCUGAACAAUUAACAGAUUUUACUUGAAAUUUAUGUAUAAGUAUGCAUGUUUUCUUUCCUUUUCUCUUUUUCUUUUCUUUCUUUUCUUUUCUUUAAUAUACGCACCAAUUACUUUAUUUCAUGUUUUUCUGUAUAGAAGCUAUUGCACACACACUACUUGCUAAAUUAAUCAAUACAACACCUUUUAGCCUAUUUCAUGUAGUUAAAACCUGUGCCGCCCCUGAAGAUCUUAAUAGCUCUCCCUAGAAUGUUUUCCAGCCUUAUCAUUCCUAAAUAAUAGAUUUUCAGAACUGUGUAGUAUUCCAGGGCUUUCUACAACUUUUUCACUUCUGUUAAUGAUCUUGUUAUGGAAAACCAUAACCAAGAAAACUCCCUAAACCAAAUGAUAGUGUAGAAAGUCAACAGUGCUUUACUACAUUACUAGGUGAAUGAGAAUUUCUUCACAAAGUAUGCACACACCAGAGCUAAAUCAGCCCCCUUAUAUAUUUUUAACAUAUGAAUAAUCAUGCAAUUUCAGUGAAGUUCCCACCUGUAUGGGAAUUGCUAAGUCACGGCCUGAAACAAUGAUUGAGCACAUCAUGAUAGCCACAGGAUUAUGGCUGUCACCCUUUUUUUGGGUUGUUUAAAACUUGUUAUCUGCUAUUGCCUUUCCCUACACCACCUAUUCUCAGAAUCAUCACGCAUACUAAAUCUAACAUUGCACCUACACUCCUGUUCAGUGAAGGGGUUCUUGCAAAGGGUCUUUGUUGGCGUAUAAUCAAAAAAUAUACAGAGUGGUGUGGUUAUAAGGAUCUUGUUUUUAAUCUAUGGGUACUACCUAAGUUGUUUAAAUCUUUAGUAUCCGUUUGCUGACCUAACACUUCCUUCCCUCUGUUUAAAAAUACUGUAUCCAGGGUAUCCUAAGGUUUUGCUGUAGUAGAUGUCUGAGGUUAGCCUGUAAAGGCGUCAUAUUUAAUCACAACUUACAUUGCACGUAUUUUCAAACUUAAGCAGUUCUUCCAUGACACUCUUCUAGUACCGUGACACCUAAAGAUGCAUUUUCACAUAUUUUUCUAAACUUCGCUUUUGAAUAUAAGGUCUUAAACUAAUUUUGAAGAAAACUCAUUGUUUGUAUCAAUGGUCUAAUGUAUUUCUCUUUUACUUUGUGGUCUUCUGUUCUGCAAGUUUACCGCAAGUAUUUAGUUUGUUUGUUUUUACUGGCUUGACACCCCAAAAGUUCUACAAGUGCUAUGCAGCCAAUGCUAUGCUGCAAACAGUGCAAGUGACUGACUCAUUUGUCUGUUGACAAGAUUACUACACUGACGGAUCAGUCAGGUGGUCUUUGUAGCAAGCUGCAUGUUGCAUUAGAGGCCUUCACAAUUGUAUUUACAGUACAGAAAUGAUUUGCAGGCUUUGUGCCUUAUCAUGGAUUGUUUGCUUAAAUUUAAAAUGGAGUUUAUCUUGACUGCUUGUUCAAGGUCUGUGGCUGGGAGAUGAGUGGCUUACACUCAUCAGUGAAGGAUCUGGAAGGACUAUUAGCAGAACAAUGCCUCAGAGGAAGCCUUAAUUAAAGAACAGUAUGUUGAGAGAUUGUCUAUACUCUACUUACAAAAAACUUCACAAUUUUCUAUGACAAUGUUUCUACGCAUUGUAGGAAUGGUUAAAGGUUUGAGGACCCAGAGAAAUUACUGAUAAUAUGAAGUCAUAUAUUAAAAGUAUUUAUUUGAAUCAUUUAUAAUAUUUUGUUCUUGCUGGUGUUUGGAAUAUCUUUAUUUGAAGAGAGGUUUGAAGGGCAGUGUUUUAAAAACAACGUGCUGGUAAUGGUUAUAGUUCUGCAAACACUGACACAAGAAACUUCAUUGUAAUUUUAUGAUCUUCUAAUAUACAUGUAUGUCAAUAUCUGUUUAUAUAUGUAUAGAUUGUGAAAAAAAAAUGGCUUAUGUAAUUAAAUACAAGCAAGAGGACUGUCUUGUCUAGGUUUCUAAAAGUGGAGUGAAAAAAAAAGUGUAGAAAGAGAUUUGGGAUGAGGAAUGUUUUCUCAGGGAUGUUAAAUGCUUUUUGAUCCUGGACUCCCUGUAGCUGUGAUAUAGGUUUGUUUGUUUAACAACUGGAAUCCUUAUAUUACUUGAAGGAUCAAUAUAUUAGUUUAGUAGAAGGAACUAAUGAGUACUAGUUCUAAAACUUUCCGUUUCAACUUUGCUUGGCAUAUGAACAGCCUUGUUUCCUCAAUGAUUCUGACUCACAAAAAACACUGGAGUCAUAAUAGACUACUUUUGUCUUUUUGCACCCACCAGAUGCAAGGACAUCUUCCUCAUAUUUCACCUGUAUUAUUUUUGAAGUUGUUUAAUAUGGUCUAACUGUAAGAGAUUAUUCUUUUAUAUAAUUGAUUCAAAGUUUGCUGAGGAACAAGUCCAGGCAAGUCCUGGGCAAAAGUAGAGAAAUUUCUGUCUGGAGGACACUGAUGGACAGGUCCUGGCUAAGGGUUGUGAAAUCCUUUAAGGAGCACAGGUGGACAAGGCCAGGGGCAACAACAGAAGGAUAAGCUGCUGAUAAUGGCCGAGAAAGGGUCUUUUGUGCGGACUUAUCUCGAGGAAGAUGGCCAUCUCAGGAGGUAUGCACAUGACUCUUGCUCAAGCACCCAGGGAUGUCGCAUAGGCAGGAAAAAAGGAGGAUAAAAGAGGGUCCAACAACCAUGAGGAGAGGUUUCUGCUAUCAGAUCCCUCACUGCGAAAGUCCUGAAUGCUGACGGACACAAGGUUUCUGCCAUCAGAUCCCUCACUACAGAAGGCCUGUAUGCUGAUGGACUCGAGGUGUCUGCCAUCAGAUCCCUCACUACGGACUGCAUGCUGACGGACUUUCCUGGGCCUGAUACCUGAGACCUGCUGCUUCCUCCUGGACUUACUCUGUGGCUUCUUCCUGGAACCACCCAGUACCUGCACGCUCUCGUUGCCCAAGACCAGCCUCACUGCUCCUGCCCUUCGGCCUCAGACCAUCGGAACAGAGUGCAAUGGGUCUACUGCUGGAUCCUGGUGGUGACUAUCCCUGCUUCACGCAAUUCUUGCUUCUUCUUAUCUUUUCUAUCACUCGCCUUCUCUUCCCCAUCACCCCAAUCUGUAAUAGUGUCCGUCCUCCCCUUUCUUCAUCUCCGUUAUUAACAUUUGUAAUAAACUGGUCAGACCAACAUUUGAACCGUUGUUUCUUAAUCUCACGCCAGGUACACAUACAUCAAAGAACCUCCUCUCCCUCCUAUAAAUUGGAGACACCAACAAGCAAUGGAAGUUUGCUAAAUUGAGCAGAAAACAGCUAAAGAUCAGCCAAAAUUAUUUUUGAUAAAGCUGAUGGUGGUGAAAUGGGGAUAAAAUAAGUCACUGAAGGCCACUAUCAUGCGUGCCCAGAGGGAAAUUAGCAUAUAUUGAUGAAUUCUUGGAAAGGAAUCAAUAUGCAUAGCAAUGUACAGCAUAUAUAUGUCUUAAAUGCUUAAAUGUAGAGCCUGAACUCUAAGAGAGCAUGCUUGUUUUGUCAAGUUUUCGGGUACAUAUCAGGAGGUAUAAAGGAAAACCACUUUCUAGCACCACAUUAGAGUUAGAGGGCUUUCUUCCUGGAUUUUGGAUGACAGUUGGAUUUGAAAAUAAUGUGCGUGUUGCAAUUGUGUGUACUGAAUUGAUAAUUUAACAAAUAAUUACAUUUUUAACUUUUGUUUUGUCUUUGAACAAAAGUUUAUUCCCUCCUUCUGCUUAUGUAGAAAUGUAAACUAUUUCUAAACAUGUUUUAGAGACAACUCCUAGAAAGCUUAAUAGCCCUGGUACCUCCUCUAUUGAGCAGACUAAAGAGAUUCUGUUCUGAGAGUUUUGGACAGACCUAUUUAGUUCUGAGAAUUAUCUUCAUAUUUAUCUGUCUCCAGAUACUAAUUCUAGAAACUGUUAAUAAAAAUACUAGUUUAUGUUGUGAGGAUAACAUAUC
ensembl:lncRNA